UACGUAGGGGGCAAGCGUUGUCCGGAAUCACUGGGCGUAAAGCGCGCGCAGGCGGUCAUCUACGUCUGGGGUGAAAGCCCGGAGCUCAACUCCGGGAUUGCCUUGGAUACGGGAUGACUUGAGGAUCGGAGAGGCAAGGGGAAUUCCACGUGUAGCGGUGAAAUGCGUAGAGAUCGGGAGGAACACCAGUGGCGAAGGCGGCCUUCUGGGCAUUUCCUGACGCUGAGGCGCGAAAGCGUGGGGAGCGAACCGG
rnacentral:rRNA from 1 species